UACGUAGGCAGCAAGCGUUGUUCGGAGUUACUGGGCGUAAAGGGUGUGUAGGCGGUCCUCUAAGUUUGGCGUGAAAUCUCCCGGCUCAACUGGGAGGGUGCGCCGAAAACUGGAGGGCUAGAGUACUGGAUGGGAGAGUGGAAUUCCUGGUGUAGCGGUGAAAUGCGUAGAUAUCAGGAGGAACACCUGUGGUGUAGACGGCUCUCUGGACAGUAACUGACGCUGAGACACGAAAGCGUGGGUAGCAAACAGG
rnacentral:rRNA from 1 species